rnacentral:rRNA from 1 species
GAGUUUGAUCGUGGCUCAGAUUGAACGCUGGCGGCAUGCCUUACACAUGCAAGUCGAACGGUAACAGGUCUUCGGAUGCUGACGAGUGGCGAACGGGUGAGUAAUACAUCGGAACGUGCCCGAUCGUGGGGGAUAACGGAGCGAAAGCUUUGCUAAUACCGCAUACGAUCUACGGAUGAAAGCAGGGACCGCAAGGCCUUGCGCGGACGGAGCGGCCGAUGGCAGAUUAGGUAGUUGGUGGGAUAAAAGCUUACCAAGCCGACGAUCUGUAGCUGGUCUGAGAGGACGACCAGCCACACUGGGACUGAGACACGGCCCAGACUCCUACGGGAGGCAGCAGUGGGGAAUUUUGGAC